UACGGGGGAGCAAGCGUUGUUCGGAUUUACUGGGCGUAAAGGGCGCGUAGGCGGCCACCGCAAGUCGGUUGUGAAAUCUCUGGGCUUAACCCAGAAAGGUCAACCGAUACUGCGGGGCUAGAGUGCAGAAGGGGCAACUGGAAUUCUCGGUGUAGCGGUGAAAUGCGUAGAUAUCGAGAGGAACACCUGCGGCGAAGGCGGGUUGCUGGGCUGACACUGACGCUGAAGCGCGAAAGCUAGGGGAGCGAACGGG
rnacentral:rRNA from 1 species